ACGAAGGGUGCAAGCGUUGUUCGGAUUUAUUGGGCGUAAAGCGCAGGUAGGCGGAUUUGUAAGUCAGAUGUGAAAUCUCGGGGCUCAACCCCGAAACUGCGUCUGAAACUGCUAAUCUUGAAUCUCGGAGGGGGAAGGGGAAUUUCGCAUGUAGGGGUAAAAUCCGUAGAGAUGCGAAGGAACACCAGAGGCGAAGGCGCCUUCCUGGACGAGUAUUGACGCUGAGCUGCGAAAGCGUGGGGAGCAAACAGG
rnacentral:rRNA from 1 species